CAAGGAUCGCAGGCUCGGGGAACGAGAUUGCACCUAACCUGCGAACGGGCAUACUCUGGUCGGAAACAUCUCGUGAUGCUUGUAUGACUGUAAAUGCAGCAAACAUUGGCAAUAAAGAAGAUGAACAAUUAAAAUAUAUUGCAGACGUUUUGUAGUGGAACUAUUUACAUUUCUAUUCCAACUUGAGUAAGUGAAUUAAACUUAAGCAGAUGUUAUUUAAUAUAAAGCAUGGUUAUAUGUUUUUUCGUUUAUUAGCGACCUCAUAAUGUCUCAAAUAAACUAGAGGUUAUCUGACUAGAUUAACUAUUGUUAAUUAUGUAUAAAAAAUUCAUUCUCAUACGUUUGUGAGCUAAACAUUUUCAGAAAGUCUGAAUUCUAGAUUAUGCCUGCACAAAUUCAAAUGAUAGACUUGC